AACAGGAUUAGAUACCCUGGUAGUCCACGCCCUAAACGAUGUCAACUGGUUGUUGGGAGGGUUUCUUCUCAGUAACGUAGCUAACGCGUAAAGUUGACCGCCUGGGGAGUACGGCCGCAAGGUUGAAACUCAAAGGAAUUGACGGGGACCCGCACAAGCGGUGGAUGAUGUGGUUUAAUUCGAUGCAACGCGAAAAACCUUACCUACCCUUGACAUGCCAGGAAUCUUGCAGAGAUGUGAGAGUGCUCGAAAGAGAACCUGGACACAGGUGCUGCAUGGCCGUCGUCAGCUCGUGUCGUGAGAUGUUGGGUUAAGUCCCGCAACGAGCGCAACCCUUGUCAUUAGUUGCUACGAAAGGGCACUCUAAUGAGACUGCCGGUGACAAACCGGAGGAAGGUGGGGAUGACGUCAGGUCAUCAUGGCCCUUAUGGGUAGGGCUACACACGUCAUACAAUGGCCGGGACAGAGGGCUGCCAACCCGCGAGGGGGAGCUAAUCCCAGAAACCCGGUCGUAGUCCGGAUCGCAGUCUGCAACUCGACUGCGUGAAGUCGGAAUCGCUAGUAAUCGCGGAUCAGCUUGCCGCGGUGAAUACGUUCCCGGGUCUUGUACACACCGCCCGUCACACCAUGGGAGCGGGUUCUGCCAGAAGUAGUUAGCCUAACCGCAAGGAGGGCGAUUACCACGGCAGGGUUCGUGACUGGGGUGAAGUCGUAACAAGGUAACC
rnacentral:rRNA from 1 species